rnacentral:rRNA from 1 species
AUUGAACGCUGGCGGCAGGCUUAACACAUGCAAGUCGAGCGGAGAUGAGGUGCUUGCACCUUAUCUUAGCGGCGGACGGGUGAGUAAUGCUUAGGAAUCUGCCUAUUAGUGGGGGACAACGUUCCGAAAGGAAUGCUAAUACCGCAUACGCCCUACGGGGGAAAGCAGGGGAUCUUCGGACCUUGCGCUAAUAGAUGAGCCUAAGUCGGAUUAGCUAGUUGGUGGGGUAAAGGCCUACCAAGGCGACGAUCUGUAGCGGGUCUGAGAGGAUGAUCCGCCACACUGGGACUGAGACACGGCCCAGACUCCUACGGGAGGCAGCAGUGGGGAAUAUUGGACAAUGGGCGGAAGCCUGAUCCAGCCAUGCCGCGUGUGUGAAGAAGGCCUUUUGGUUGUAAAGCACUUUAAGCGAGGAGGAGGCUACCUGGAUUAAUACUACUGGAUAGUGGACGUUACACGCAGAAUAAGCACCGGCUAACUCUGUGCCAGCCGCCGCGGUAACAC